rnacentral:rRNA from 1 species
UACGUAGGGUGCGAGCGUUAAUCGGAAUUACUGGGCGUAAAGCGUGCGCAGGCGGUCCGUCGUGUCCGAUGUGAAAGCCCCGGGCUCAACCUGGGAAUGGCAUUGGAAACUGGCGGACUCGAGUGUGGCAGAGGGGGGUGGAAUUCCGCGUGUAGCAGUGAAAUGCGUAGAUAUGCGGAGGAACACCGAUGGCGAAGGCAGUCCCCUGGGCCUGUACUGACGCUCAUGCACGAAAGCGUGGGGAGCAAACAGG